rnacentral:lncRNA from 1 species
UAGGCUGGUAUACUAUUGGUAGCAUGGAUAGAGCUAGGCUGAUAUACUAUCGGUAGCACGGAGGCCUCCAUGCUACCAAGUUGUUUUCAAUGAUGCGACUUCCAAAUCGACGAUCGACUAUGUUAGACUUAAUCUACACUAUUAAAAAUAUUUGGAAACUAAAUUUCAUAAUUUUUCGACAUCAUUUGAUUAGUGAUCAAAAGGUCUCAAAAUUGACACUUUUAAUGGUAGAUAUGAUGUGUUUGUAAAUUUAACGGUGUAAAACAAUCGAAAUCAGAUAAAAUUUUUAUAGAAAUUUUUUUUAACUAUUUAGAGUAAAAUCAGUACCUCUAAUCUUAAAUUCAAGUUUUCUAUCAUCAUGUUUUAUGAGAUUUUUAUUUUCAGCCGUUCAUUUUUAGACUACUUGUUUGAUAGGUAAAUGAUGCCAAAAAAUUAUGAAAUUUAGUUUCCAAAUAUUUUUAAUAGUGUAGAUCAAAUCUAACGGAGCCGAUCGUCGAUUUGGAAGCGGCAUCAUUGAAAAUAACUUGGUAGCACCGAGGCCUCCGUGCUACCGAUAGUAUACCAGCCUAGCUCUCUCUUUAUAUAUAUAUAUAUAAUAGGGUUACUAUACUUUUAUGAGUAUAGAGCCUUUCGUACUCAUAAGUUGUUUUCGAUAAUGGAGCUUCCGAAUCGACGAUCCACUCCGUUAAAUAUGAUCUAAAAUAUUUGAAACUUCUAAAAAAUAAAUUUCGUAAUUUUUUAAAAUCAUAAUAAAGUCCAUCAAGCGGGCAAAAAAUAAACGGUCAAAACCGAACGACGUCCUAAAAAUGAAUGAUCAGAUCCUUCAAUUUAAAAUCGGAGUUAUUGAUCUUUAUCUAGAUAGUGAAUAAAAUUUUCUAUCAAAAAUUCAACUUAUUCCAAUUCUUUUAUAUCGUUAAACUAGCAAGUAUCCCAUACCGGCCGUUAAAAAUUAAUUAUCAAUUUUGUGGCUUUUGAUCGUAAGGUAAAUGAUGUCGAAAAAUUAUAAAAUUUGAUUUUUAAAAGUUUUAAAUGCUCUAGAUAAUAUUUAACGGCAUGGGUUGUCGAUUUGGAAGCUCUAUCAUCGAAAAUGACUUAUGAGUACGAAGGCGAUUGUAUUCAUAAGAGUAUAAUAGCCGGACUCUCUCUCUCUCUCUCUCUAUAUAUAUAUAUAGAAUUGAGCUAGAAUACUCUCAAAGUACUAAUCUCUUGGUGCUUCUAAGUUUCUAGCCAUUG